rnacentral:tRNA from 1 species
GCCUCGAUAGCUCAAUGGAUAGAGCAACAGACUUCUAAUCUGUAGGUUGCGGGUUCGAGUCCCGCUCGGGGUAC